AAACCUGGGGAGGAGAAAGGAAAGAAAAUACAAGAUGGCAGCAAAAUAUAGAAAUAGGAAAUAGAUAGCACUUCAGAGGACAAAAAAGCGCUGCUGACUGAGAAGGAAUGAAAAAAGCAGUGGGUCUGCUGAGAAGGAAAGCUGUGAGAAGUUUGUGCUGUUAGUGCAAGGAUGCUUCCAGAAGGAGACUUUUACCAGGCAAUUGCUGAGGAAUCUGUGGAGACAGAGAGGGAAUGUCCUGUUCCACUUACGCCUCAUUUGUGCUUCCUGUCUACAAUGAAGAGUGGAUUUCAGACAUCUGAUCAGAACCCUCAUUUAUUUCAGAAUUGUGAAAUCUAAGAGAUAUAAUGCCUAUUACGGUCCUUUAUUUAAACAUUUAAUUCACCCAGUUGGUCUGGUUGCACGUGUAGAAGAUAAGUGGUUCUUUGGACAUAGUGGACAUGACCCUAGCUUAACAAACAAACUGCAAAUAAGCCUACAUUUUUCCUGCCAAACUCAAGGCGUGAGAGAAAGGCAUGUCUAGGUCCUUCUGAAUGGCAUCCCUGCCCACCCUGCCGUCGGGAGUAUCGGCUGGUCUCUCAUUUAUCGUCAUCUGCAAAUUUGCUGAGCUCCGUCAUCUCU